UUCAAAUUCUUUUAACUUGACAAUUAUAGGAUCAAUUCAUAAUUUUCAUCUCAGUCAUGUCAAAUUUUGGCGGACAUCUGAUGAUGAGUUGCGUUUUAAGAUAUUCAACAGAGUCGCUGUCGACUCCACAUUGAUCAAUGCACGUCGUC